AGCGAACGCUGGCGGCAGGCCUAACACAUGCAAGUCGAACGGAUCCUUCGGGAUUAGUGGCGGACGGGUGAGUAACACGUGGGAACGUGCCCUUCGGUUCGGAACAACUCAGGGAAACUUGAGCUAAUACCGGAUGUGCCCUUCGGGGGAAAGAUUUAUCGCCAUUGGAGCGGCCCGCGUCUGAUUAGCUAGUUGGUGGGGUAAAGGCCCACCAAGGCGACGACCAGUAGCUGGUCUGAGAGGAUGAUCAGACACAUUGGGACUGAGACACGGCCCAAACUCCUACGGGAGGCAGCAGUGGGGAAUCUUGCGCAAUGGGCGAAAGCCUGACGCAGCCAUGCCGCGUGAAUGAUGAAGGUCUUAGGAUUGUAAAAUUCUUUCACCGGGGACGAUAAUGACGGUACCCGGAGAAGAAGCCCCGGCUAACUUCGUGCCAGCCGCCGCCGUAA
rnacentral:rRNA from 1 species